GUGGUUACUAGCUCUACAAACCCUCAAGAGGUCGAAGAAAGGAAGGAGGUUAUAUUUACAUAUGACGUUGAUUUCCAGGAGAGUGACGUCAAGUGGAUUCCGAUUCCUCGAUGGGAGCCUUCCUGUCCAAUGGCCGAUGACCUGAUACACCGGUUCUCUAUCGCCACCUCCGGUGGUUUAUCCAGUCCAUCCUCCAGUCGUCUUCUGCCCGCCAGGUGGCUGUUAGCCUCGACUGAAUGAUGACUUCGGCCACUGCUACUAUCUGGUAGUAGCACGAAUAAAGCUCCCUUGAGUUACUUUAUGUAAUGUUAUAUAUGAAGAGUGUGAGUGUGUGUGAAGAAGUCUCUUGUCUUACCCCCAAGAAGACAAGGCGGGUUGUCCCUGUGUUCUUGUAGCAUGUGUUUUUCUAACCUGACUCUUGCUUUCUUCUCUUUUGUUUUCUUUUCACUGAGUCAGAGCGUAAAGGUGUAGUCGUUCUUUGCGUUGGAUGUCAGAGCGUAAAGGUGUAGCUGUUCUUUGCGUUGGAUGUCAUAGCUCUCACCUCAUUGUACUUAUUCGCAUCGAUACAAACGUACUAUAAAUGAAUUUGGGUUCCUACU